rnacentral:rRNA from 1 species
UAUUAAAGGCAACGCCUGCCCAGUGAACAAUUAAACGGCCGCGGUAUCCUAACCGUGCAAAGGUAGCGUAAUCACUUGUCUAUUAAUUGUACACCCGUAUGAAAGGCAUAAUGAGGGUCUAACUGUCUCUUAUAGUAAAUCAAUUAAACUGAUCUCCCAGUCCAAAAGCUGGAAUAUAAUCAUAAGACCAGAAGACCCUGUGAAGCUUAAACUAAACUAUUAAAACCAAUAAUAACUACUUUCGGUUGGGGCGACCUUGGAAACAAAAAGAACUUCCAAAAACGACCCAGACAAACUGAUAAUUGAACCAAGUUACUCCAGGGAUAACAGCGCUAUCUUCUUCAAGAGCCCAUAUCAAAAAGAAGGUUUACGACCUCGAUGUUGGAUCAGGACAUCCUAAUGGUGCAACCGGUAUUAAAGGUUCGUUUGUUCAACGAUUAACAGUCCUACGUGA